UAAUAAAUUAUUAUCUUUAUUAUUAAAUGAAAUAGGGAAGUGGGGAGGACAGCUGUGUACUCCAACUCAAGAUUCUUGGAGGAAAGGUGGGGUAUAAAUGUAAAAUUGAUGGUAACGGCAGCCAGACAGGUUAUAGCGCGUAAUUGGAAAAAUGCAGAGGAGCUGGGGUGAACCAGUGGGGGAAAAAACGGAAUAAUAUUAUAAUUUUAGAAUAUCUAACUGAAGAUACACAGAAUGAAAGGGUUUAAGGUCAGUGAGAAAGAGGAGGAUUGGUUGGAGAAGAUACUGAAUUAUUUGGGUAGGUUUGAACAAUUUGGGGCAAUUAAAAUGUUAAAAGUUAAAUUAACCUUGUGCAUGGAGGAGUGUUAACGUAGAUAAAAUUGUACAUAUGGUUGAUUUGAAUAUGUUAUUAUUGAUAAUGAAUACCCAAUGUAUCAGCCCCCUGGGGGGUUUCACUGUUUGUGUUUUGGUUGUUUGU